UCAGAUUGUUUUGAUCAUUAUACAACUACAGAUGUGAUAAAUUCAUUUGAGUAAUAAAAAAAAUGGAAAAAAAAAAGAACGACUAACAUUUCUGGCAAGGUUGAUGUCCUGGAAAGACUUUAUUUCCUCUUCGCUUUUGAAGGUUUAUUUUGAAAAAUACAUUAUUAUUCUGUGUUAUUUUUUUUAUCAGUAAUUUAAACCUUGCACUCCAUUCUUCUCAUUUGCAUGGUUUCUGAGAAGUUGCAUGCUUUCCUCUGGCUUCCUUCAGGAUUUUUUCUUUAUCUUCGAUUUUUAAUAAUCUGAAAAUGAUAGCCUAGGUUAGUUUUUUGAUUGUUUAUCCUACUUGAUGUUCUCUGAACUUCCCGAAUUGUGAUUUGGUAUCUGACAUUAAUUGGGGGAAGUUCUCAGUUAUUAUUGUGUCUUAUGUGUGUGUCACACCUUUUUUGCAGUUCUCUCACAUUCCUGGAUAUUGUGUUCCAUUUUUAAAAAUCUUUGUUUUCUUUGGUUUUUGUUUUUUGAAGUCUUUAAUAACGCAUUCUCAAGGUCAGAGAUUUUUCCUUCAUCUGUGUCCAGUGUGUUAAUAAGCCCAUUAAAGGCAUUAGUCAUUCUGUCACAGUGUUUUAAUUUCCAGCAUUUCUUUUUGGUUCUUGGGAUUCCAUCUCUGCUUACACCAUCCAUAUGUUCCUGUUUGCUGUCUACUUUAUUUACUAGAGUCCUUAGUAUACUAAUCAUAGUUGUUGUAAUUUCCCAGCCUGACUUCAACAUCCCUGCCAAGUCUGGUUCUGAUGCUAGUUUCCUUUCUUUCCAAUGUGGGUUUUUUUUUUUCCUUUUGUUAUGGCUUAUAAUUUCUUCUUGAUAGCCGGGCAUACUAUCCUGGGUAUAAGGAAGUGUUGUAAAUAAGGCCCUUAGUGAACCAAUGGGAAGGUUUGGGAGAGGAGAGUGUCCUGUGUUCCUGUGAUUAGGUAUGUCAGUGAGCCUGUGCCUCUGAUGGGAGCUUCACAAAAUCUUCUCAGGUUUGUUUUUUGUUUUUUUUUUCCUUCCCUUUAGUUGGAACAGGAUAUCUAGAGGUGGUUGGCCUUGGGCUUUUCCCUUUCCUCAGGUCAGUUAUGCUUAUCAGAGCCUCAUCAAUGCCCCAGUCUGGUUAAGUUCUAGCUAACUCCUUUCACCUGAGGGGUGGUCUUGUUAAGCACAGGAGUGCUCUGGUGGGUGUUAAAGUGGCUUCUCUCCUCCUGCCCUCAUGGCCAGAGUCAGAGGGAACUUCCUUCCAGUAUUUACCAUGAGAACCUUGUGGAGAUCCUGCCAGUUAAGUCUGAAAUUGCUGUAGGGGUCCUGCUAUGCCUGAGUCCCCUGGAUUUUUUGUUUCUCAGGCUCAUCUACAUGAAGGUGCAGCACUUUGUCAAGGACCGUUCCCAUUUUCCUUCCUGGCACUCGUUUCUGCUCAGUCUAUAGAAGCAGAGUCAAUUGUUCCUGAAGAUCAGUGGAAGUGACAACAGAAGCUGAAUGAUUACACAAUUAAGAUGAGAACAGAGGAAAAAAAUGGGCUAAGUUGUCCUCAGUUGUGAAGUGUGGAUGUGAUGUAUGGAGCUCUGGCAGCCAUACUAAGACAUGCUUCAGGUUAAGAAUGGAAGCCACGUGUGGAGAGAAUGGAGAAGACUUGUGGAUGGAGCCUGAGUCCUGGUCUAACUAUACCUAGAUUACAGCCCAGUGAGACUCCGAAACAGAGGAACCAGCUAUACAGUACGCCAGGACCUCUGACCUGAAGAGGCUGUGAGUUAAUAAAUAUAUAUUGGCUUAAGCUACUAAAUGUGUAG